GGUGGUUCUCAGGUGAUGCACCCCGGAAUUGGGCUCCUUCCUCUCUGGUUCCAGGGUGCGUCACCCAAGAACCACU
rfam:Myotis brandtii contig249575, whole genome shotgun sequence.